UACGUAGGGUGCGAGCGUUAAUCGGAAUUACUGGGCGUAAAGCGUGCGCAGGCGGCGGCUCAAGUCAGGUGUGAAAAUCCCCCGGGCUUAACCUGGGAAUUGCGCUUGAAACUAGGCUGCUUGAGUGUGGCAGAGGGGGGGUGGAAUUCCACGUGUAGCAGUGAAAUGCGUAGAGAUGUGGAGGAACACCGAUGGCCGAAGGCAGCCCCCUGGGUCAACACUGACGCUCAUGCACGAAAGCGUAGGGGA
rnacentral:rRNA from 1 species